AGAGUUUGAUCCUGGCUCAGAUUGAACGCUGGCGGCAGGCCUAACACAUGCAAGUCGAGCGGUAGAGAGAAGCUUGCUUCUCUUGAGAGCGGCGGACGGGUGAGUAAUGCCUAGGAAUCUGCCUGGUAGUGGGGGAUAACGUUCGGAAACGGACGCUAAUACCGCAUACGUCCUACGGGAGAAAGCAGGGGACCUUCGGGCCUUGCGCUAUCAGAUGAGCCUAGGUCGGAUUAGCUAGUUGGUGAGGUAAUGGCUCACCAAGGCGACGAUCCGUAACUGGUCUGAGAGGAUGAUCAGUCACACUGGAACUGAGACACGGUCCAGACUCCUACGGGAGGCAGCAGUGGGGAAUAUUGGACAAUGGGCGAAAGCCUGAUCCAGCCAUGCCGCGUGUGUGAAGAAGGUCUUC
rnacentral:rRNA from 1 species